CUUAUUCUUUUUCUUUUUUCCUGAUUUCUAUGCAUGGUAUGCAGCCAGCUUUAGCAGUUCUGCUGGGCUAAUAAAGUAGAGAGCCGUGCUACAUAAUAAUGAUACAAAGAGGAUACUCAAGGAGGUUUUGCACGUGCAUCCAAUUUAAGUAUGCAUCUUCUUGAAUCCAAGUGCAGAACAUUCAUCUUUACCUUGAGACUUAGGAAUGUAGGGACAAGAGUGGACUAUGGAUUCAGAACAGAACCGGCUUGACCAUGGCACAUCUUCACCAAUGAGGCAAUGAGUCAUGUUGUCGGCACCAAUAAUAUUCAAGCUUGUCUGUGAAAAUGAGGAGAGAGAGCAAGGCUGUAUGUGGAUGAAUAAAAAACCCAUGUACAAGCUCCAAGGUAAAAUGAGAGCAACCUUGUACAUUCUCUCACCACCCACUGGAUAAACUAAAUACACUCUAUUGGAAUAGUUGUACAAUGUGUUAUUGGUUAGUGAUAUGAUAAAUUUACCAACAAAUUGAUAACUGAAGAUAAUCUGCUCCCCUUCUCCAUUUUAUCUUGUGUGAUUUUAAAGCUGACACGAGUUUCAUUUUUUUGGUGUUUCAACAUGUCUUGUUUAUUGGUAGAAAGCAC